CAAAAUUUCUGCGGCAACUAAAAUAAAAAAGUGCCAUCUUUCCCGUGUACAGUAACUCCCUUUCCCGUGUACCCAUUUCCAAUCUCAUUUUCUUCGAUCUUUCUCCUCCUGGUAUACUCUCCCGUGUCUCAUUUUUCCUGGUAUACCCAUUUCCCAUUUCCCUUUGACCCAUUUCCGGCGAUAUAGGAGGCACAUAUCCUCUCUCUCGGAUCUCUUUCUCCCACCAAACCUCUCUCCUUCCCUCUUUCUCUCUCACCUGUCUUUAUGGAGCCCGACCUUCCCUAUCAUUGGCAAAUGGCGCAAAUGAUAGGGGCUCGUGGGUCUUGUGAAAACGAUGGGCUCAGGGUCGUGGGUGGCUCGGUCUUGCAGAGGGGUCCGAGGGGGUGGGUGGCUCGGUCUUGCAGAGGGGUCCGAGCCCCCUCUUCUUUCUUCUUGAAAUUUUGGAUUGUAUUUGGAUACGAUGAGGGAGCCAUCAUGGUUAAAAUUGGUCGAGAAGAACCAGUUGCCAGCAUGGACAAUGGGGGAAAAUAAUUUGGGCGAAGCAUAAUGAAGUUCAAAUUGUGAAUAUCAAAAGUGUUGGGAAUACAGAGGUCGCAGAUGGAGAACGAUUGCCUUUGGUCGUCAAGGAAUUGGGAACAUGUGAUCUUUAUCCUCAACUUCCUAGUUUAUCCUGAGUUAGAAACUAGAAACUCCAUUCAGUUGCCAUCUUAUUGCCCAAUGCAGAGAUCGAAAUUCUGUGGUGGCACAAAAUUCAAAUAAUUAGAAGGUUCGAUAACAUGCCAUGAUUAUCAAGAAAUCAAAAUUCAAGAAAGUACACAUGUAUUAGGGGUCGGGGCUAUUCCUCGUUCAAUACUCGUCAUUCUAAAAGAUGAUCUUGUUGAUGUUGUUAAAGCAGGAGAUGACGUUAUAGUCACUGGGGUCUUAACUGCAAGGUUGUCGCCUGACUUAAAAGAUGUUUGCUGCGACCUUGAUCCUGUGUUGAUUGCUAAUCAUGUGAAGUAAAUGUAACAACUCUGUUUGAAAGAAGAAACAUUUUUCAUUGUUGAGAUGGUUGUUGUUCCAUUGGAGUCAUACAUGGUACUAAAGAGAGGAGAACAAAUGAGCUGAAAUCGGAUAUUACUAUUCCUCAUGAUGCCAUUAUGAAAUUCAAUCAAUUUUGGAACGAGUUUAAGGAUACCCCUUUGAAAGGUAAGGCAUCGUUGAUUAAUAUAUAUCAUUUUAUAAAUCAGUGUUCUUCUAUCAAUUCUUCAGCAUCAAUCAAUUAGAGAUCUUCAUUCAAAAAGAAAAUAUUGGAAACUAGGCCCCCUUAUAUGUAAGACUGUUAUGACUUCAAUUUUUUUUAAUGAAAAUUAUUCAAGGAGAAAUGCAAUAUUACAAGGUGUUUGUCCACAAAUUUUUGGACUCUUCACUGUAAAGCUUGCAGGUACAUAGCUUUCUCAUAUAAAUUCAUGAUUUGUUUAUCUUAAGUUAAAGAUUUUGAAUGACUGUUAAACAUUCACUACCAGCACCUUCUCUUUUUUCAACUUAGUUGCAUUAACACUUAUUGGAGGUGUGCAACAUGUUGAUGCUUCUGGAACCAAGGUACGAGGAGAGUCUACUUUACUUUUGGUUGGAGACCCAGGUACCUUUUCGAUUUUCAUUGCAUACUUAUAGGGUUCAUUACUUAAAUAAAAUUCUAUCAAUUCAAGACUACUGCAUUUAUGCUAUGCUUCAGUUGAAGAAGCUUUCUUUUCUUCAAAAUUCUGAUAGGAAAUUAACAAUCACUUAAAUCUAGAAAAAUAAGAACACCAUUGUAUUUUGUCUAACUGAUUCAUGAUAUUUUAUGAGUGUCUAAAGCCUGUAACCUAUAUGAAUUUUCCUGUACAAUACAAUUAGGGUUAUUACAAACAAGUUAUCCAUAGUAUUGUAUUGAGUGGUCCUUUAAUGCAAAUAAUAGGUAGGGUAACUAAUGUAAAUGGUCUAAGGGUGGGAAAAUAUAAAUUUUAGAGAGAAAUUUUGAGAGCAAGAAAGUAUAGAAGAAAGCUCCAGGAUUGGACUUAAAUAGUUCAAAACUUCAGGGUUUUAUUUUCUCAAUAGAAGACAUUUCUUUGCUGGUUGGAUCCAUGGACAAAUGCAAUAUUUGCCAAACCAUGUUAAAUAUUGGUAUUGAUGCUUUUGAUAUGUUCUUGUGCUCUUGAUGUGUUUGUUGGAUGUUAUUCUAAAGGUUAUUAGUAUAAGAGGUAUUUUCUCCCUUAUAACAAUUGAGAUAUGGAUUGCACGCCAUUUUAUAACUUGUCUUUUCAGGUAACACAUGCAUUAGCUACAUUCAUUAUAACUACAGAAAAUUAGAAUUACUGAAAUUUUCCUUGAAAAAUAGAAAACUGCCCAACCAUUAUUAAUUUUUCCAAUAAAAAUAGUUUUUCAAAGCUGAAAAUUCUUCUCUAGUCCUUGUUAAUUUAUUCUUGUUUGGCUUGAGUAAUGCAGCUCAGUUUAAUUGUUUGUUGCUUUACCCUUCCCUUGGGGUUUCUGGUCCUUUUAUUUUGCUCAUUAUAUAGGUGGGAGUUAUCUUAUUAUUUCAAUAUACCCAAAUAUAUAUAUAUUUAUAUUACUAUCAUUGGUGAACAACUGCUAAUGAGUUCAGAUUCUUUUUUUGAAUCUGUAUGUAAUCAUUAAAGCAUUAUACGGAAAAAGUUACAUGUAUAUGUAUAUAUGUAGUAAAAAAUUUUAAGGCUUUUCUCAGGUACCGGGAAAUCUCAGUUCUUGAAAUUUGCUGCAAAGUUAAGUAACAGAUCUGUUGUCACUACUGGCUUAGGAAGCACUAGUGCUGGACUCACUGUCACUGCAGUCAAGGAUGGAGGUUGGGGAUCGAAUUGGCAAGGAGCAUUGCAAAGGUAAUUUGCAAGAGUUGUUAAACCCAGACAAAAAACAAGAUUUUAGUAAGAGAACAACAUCAAAUACAAAUUCAUUGGAGAUGGAUAAAAGUUGGAUCCAUCUUAACAGAGUAACGGUGGAAUAUGAGCAAAAAGCUAGAGAGUUUGCACUUGCUUGACUGGGCAGAUGCAAUUGUUGCUGAAGGUCAUUGGGAUUCUAGUGAUCCAAAUAUAACUGUACAUGGAAAGCCUCUUGGACCGAACUUUAUGCGAGUAUGGGUUGAUGUUGCUAUUGUACCAGAGUCUUACUUAUUUCUUCCUAAUCAUGCGAUGCUUACAAUACAAGAAGCAGUUGGUUCCACAGUUGCAUGGCCUUCUAAAAAAGUUAUUCCAAGAGAUAUGACAAGCGAAGUAUAAAAGGAUACUUAAGACUCCUUGAAAGUAGUAACUUUGUUUAUUUCUUUGUGUUGAAAGAAGUAACUUUUAGACUCCUUGAAUACUUAAAGAAUAUUUUGUUGUUGAUGACAUUGUUGAAUGUUUUAAACUAAAUUGUGGAUUGUUAAUUUAAUGUAGAAUGUUCUUACUUUUUGUUA